ACGGUAACGAUGGAAAGCUUGCUUUCCAGGCGACGAGUGGCGGACGGGUGAGUAAUACAUAGGAAUCUGCCCAGUAGCGGGGGACAACCUGGUGAAAACCAGGCUAAUACCGCAUACGCCCCCUGGUUUAAUCACUGGGGGGGAAAGCGGGGGACCUUCGGGCCUCGCACUAUUGGAUGAGCCUAUGUCUGAUUAGCUAGUUGGUAGGGUAAAAGCCUACCAAGGCGACGAUCAGUAGCUGGUCUGAGAGGAUGAUCAGCCACACUGGGACUGAGACACGGCCCAGACUCCUACGGGAGGCAGCAGUGGGGAAUAUUGGACAAUGGGCGCAAGCCUGAUCCAGCAAUGCCGCGUGUGUGAAGAAGGCCUGAGGGUUGUAAAGCACUUUCAAUUGUGAAGAAAAGUUUAAGGCUAAUAACCUUAAACCGUGACGUUAACUUUAGAAGAAGCACCGGCUAACUCCGUGCCAGCAGCCGCGGUAAUACGGAGGGUGCGAGCGUUAAUCGGAAUUACUGGGCGUAAAGCGUGCGUAGGUGGCUUGGUAAGUCGGAUGUGAAAGCCCUGGG
rnacentral:rRNA from 1 species